rnacentral:rRNA from 1 species
UACGAACCGUACAAACGUUAUUCGGAAUCACUGGGCUUAAAGGGUGCGUAGGCGGCCAUGUAAGUGAGGUGUGAAAUCCCUCGGCUCAACCGAGGAACAGCGCUCCAAACUGUAUGGCUUGAGGGAGACAGGGGUAAGCGGAACUGAUGGUGGAGCGGUGAAAUGCGUUGAUAUCAUCAGGAACACCGGUGGCGAAAGCGGCUUACUGGGUCUCUUCUGACGCUGAGAAACGAAAGCUAGGGUAGCGAACGGG